rnacentral:lncRNA from 10 species
UUUAGAUUCUAUUCUGCCUCCACCACUUAUCAGCUGUGUGAUCUGGAGCCACAGAUGAGGCCACAGUGCAACCAGGUGACCUUAGAGUGUAAGUACACAUGAUUGCCAGCUAUGCUCUAUCUCCACCAUAGGUCCAAGACUGGGUAGUUCUGGCCUGGAGGUUUCUGCUACAUCUGCCUUCUCAGUGUUCACCUAAGGACUUUUGUAUUUUCCUCCUCGCAUCCCCACAGAUGGGGUUCAGGCUGCCGGACACAGCUGGGUGAUGCCAGGGCAGUGGUCACCUGUGCCAGCCCCGUGAGGUAGCUGGAGGAUCAUUGUUCCUUCCUUCUC